ensembl:lncRNA
CGGGCCCCUGACGUCACCCGAUUCGCCAGGAAAUGAACUUUUUAAUAAUCCAAGGAGGGUGGAAAGCCCUCGGUCCCCUCGGCUCGGGGGGCGCCCAGCCAGGCGGGCUCAGCUUCUCGGGCGCGCCCCCGUCACCCCCUCCCAGGUCCUCUGCGGACAGCGCUGAGGGGGCGCGCGCACGGCAGGGCCUCCUCCGGCCUCUGCGACUGGCGUCCAUCUGUCUGUCCGAGGCUCUGGAACAGGUAAAGGCCUGGGGCCCGGGGUGCAGAACUCCACUGGACCGGAAACCCGCGCCUCUCCAUCCCUGGUUGGGGGGUGGUUCCUGGUGUCCGCUGUGUUCCCGGCGCCUCAGCGCUCCAGAGCCAGCAGGGGCCCAGGAGGCUGGGGAGUCCGCUCCCAGCUGAAGCGGGAGGUCUAGUAAGAGGGAUCCAGGGGCUGGAGGGGCUCGAGACCGCAGUGCCUCGGGGUCGGCUGGGCAGGUGGGUGGUCUCAGUGCCCGCCAGACUCGCGCUCCCACUGCGCGGUUCACUUAGGACCCGCUUUCGGGACGGCUUUCUCAGCUUUUCCCAGUCUUUAGCCCAUGAUUCUUCAUUAACGCGCAAGGCGAAAUCGCCAUAGAGUUUUCAGAUUGUUCGAUGUCCCUGGAACCUAGCAGGAGAGUCUAAAAGCCUCUCGGCCCCGGGAAUAACCCUAUUUUCGACAAUGGUACCCCAUGUGGCCGAAUUCCAUGACCGUGCAGAGUUCCAGGAGGAGAACGCGGUGCGCAGAGGAAGCUGCCUUGGCCGAGUCGGUGCCACGGCUGGCAAGGCGGGGGUCUCCCAGCACCACCCCUGAGAGCAGGAGAAGAUGCCACACGGGAGGUCCUUCUGAAUACAAGACCUUUCCCCUCACCGCUGAGAUAAGCUCAAAUUCAAGCCCGGCCGCCACCGAAUGGUUCAAUGCCCAGCGUCCAGACAGGCCCAGAGCGCCGUCUACGCCUAUGCACGGCGGAUCCCCUAGCCUGCAUCGGCCUCGUUCUUAUUGAAAUCCCACUGAAAAGAUUCCGACUCCGACUUGGGCAGGGGAAGACUUCCAUACCCUACGCUCUCCCCCACCUGCACCCUCGCCACACAGGAUAAAAGGCCGCGGGGCGCUUCGAGCGGGGGGCACAAGCAGGAGCGAGCCGGGUUAAGCCGUGCAAAGCCGGUGCACGGGACUAGCCGGCAGGUGCAGCCAGCGCCCGGGCAGCCCUGCUUGGGCGCAUCCGUUGCCGCGACCCGGGGGUGGGGAACCACAGAGACAAAG